CAGUCGCCACGGUAAUACGAAGGGUGCGAGCGUUAAUCGGAAUUACUGGGCGUAAAGCGUGCGUAGGCGGUGAGUUAAGUCUGCUGUGAAAUCCCCGGGCUCAACCUGGGAAUGGCAGUGGAUACUGGCUCGCUAGAGUGUGUCAGAGGAUGAUGGAAUUCCCGGUGUAGCGGUGAAAUGCGUAGAGAUCGGGAGGAACAUCAGUGGCGAAGGCGGCCAUCUGGGACAACACUGACGCUGAGGCACGAAAGCGUGGGGAGCAAACAGGAUUAGAUACCCGCGUAGUCCCUGUCUCUUAUAC
rnacentral:rRNA from 1 species